CGGGGGAUUUAUGGAGAAGCUGCCGCCUAACUCCAGAGCAGGGCUGAGAAGCAGCCAUAGCAUGGUAGCAUUCGGAGGGCCACGUGGCGCUAUAGAGUUAAUGUGGCCAUCUUCACAGACAGGUUCCCCGGAGACUCCAAAGCAAUGUGUGUGGUGACUAAGGGCUCCAGCCCCCCAGCAGUUAGUGGAGGGCGAGGCUGCUCACACCAGGGGGCCUCUUUGAUGCUGCCACUGAGGAUGCAUCAAAGAGCGAGGGCAGGCGGAGCCUUUCAGAUGUAUUCCACCUGCAAACCACUCUCUUCCCACCACCAUGGCUGAACAGCUUUCUUCCCACAAAUACACCUGCACUUCACACCUCAAUGAGACAGAGCCGACAAGAAAAUAGACGACAGGAAAGAAUACCACACGGAGAAAUGGGAAGGGUAACAUCAGCAUACUGUCGCUCCGGGGAGCCCGGUGGGAAUGGCUACAGAAACGUAGAAAAAUGAAAAGGUUGGUUUGCCGUCCUCGGGUUACAGAGCCCAGGCCGAGGACCUGAAUCAUUUAUGCCUUCCAUAUUCACAACAGCUAAGCUCCAAGGAGCCAUGUUGGAGACGCGGAUGUGACUGUCUGCCCACCUCAUCUGCUGGCUUCUCGCUGUUCUUCACGGCGCUGUACUUAGGUCCUCCCUACAGUAACUAUGACUACAAAACUCUGAGCCUCCUCAUGCUUUCAGAGUAGACUACACACCCAGCGUCGGGUACCAAUACCCAAGCCGUGGAUCGUAUUGAACAUCAAUUCUAGUCCUGAUCUGUGACCUCAUUUUCUGUCUCUUUCUACUGGGAUUAACAGUUGAGAUGGAAGC